CCUUCUUCAGCCCUUCCUCCUUCCUGCUGGCCGAAGCUUAAGCAGCCAUCUUGCACCAUGAAACAGAAGCUAGUGCUGAGGAUGGCAGAGCAACCAGAUGGAAGAAGCUCGAGUUCUAACACUAUGUAAUACCUUGGCAAGAAUGUCACCAUGUUCGUCAGGACUAUUGUUUUUGAGGAUUGUUUGGACACUUCUCCCUGAAAGGGGUUUUCUUCUGAGGCUGAAAGCACCAAGCAGUGAGGCCUUAACAGUCAGAUUUUCCAUAAGGCUGAAAGGAACGAACGUUCAAAGAAAACAUGAUUUCCUCGAUGAGAAAACUGGACGUCAAGAGGUGAACACCUCGCCAAAGUUACAAGAUUGUGAGUGACAGAGGCAGAACUUGAAUCCAGCUCUGGCUACAGCCUGAGCCUCCACCCUCUUGUUAUCUGCUGCCACCCUCAUACGUACAAGCUGUCCAUGAAGACUGAUGCCAAGGCAGUUAGCCUGAACAUCAUGCUCUGGGGAGCCAAAGGCUUAAAUUGUUAACUCCAAAGCAGGUAACAUGAAGAAAAUUCCAUUUGGAGAAUGAGGACUAUGAUGUCCACCGAAUGUCUAUUCUGUGCUGUGUGGUACUAGGAAUAGAGAAGUUAACAAAAUGUGGCUCCUGCAUCAAAACACAGUAACAUGGGACUACUGCAUCUGUGACACCGGGCAAAUGAAGGUUCUGCGUCUUGACUCUGCAUUUACUAUGAAUCACUUAAGGAUUAAUAACCCACAAUGGACCCCCUCUUUGUCUAACCUGCUAAAGUGAGUUCCUUCUUACCGUAUGAGGAAUUCAUGAGUAACAUCAUCAAAAGACAGCAUAAGAAUGCAAAUAUUUGGUUCCUUUAAAGGCUCAUUUCCAAGUUUUUUUCCCCAAACAUUUACCCCAAGUAUGUAUCUCUCUCCUCCCAUCUUCCCAACUGGAGUAGCCUUGUGCUGAAAUCAGCAUUAAAAAUACAAAUUCUUCCUUAGGCAGAAUCCAUACUCCACUCUCUGUGGAGAAUUCUAGAAGAUGAGAGACAAAGUGGUAGAACUAACCAUAUAGAGCACCUGAUCUGUCCUUUCUUUUAAAAAUGGAAUAACUAAGACUCUGAGAAGCUAAGUAGCUUGUCCAUGGUCAGAGGGAAAUAAACAACAAACCCAAGAUUUACAGGCCAUUUUUCCUCCUACAACCCUGCAGUGCAUGCCAAGUCCAGUGCGUUGGUCAGAGAAGUUUCUGAUAAGAGCUCUGGCUCAUCACUUUGCACAAUGCUCAGAACAAAGCAGAUUCUUGGUGAAAGUUGGUUAAGUAAAUACAUGUGAGGGGACUCUCAGCUUCUGGUCUACCCCUCAUUACCUCCCCGCUAGGCCAGUCCUGCACUGCAUCUUCCCUUCCUUCCUGAACUACAUUGCCCAACAAUGCUAAUACCACUCUUGUCUGAGCAGCAAUAGCGGGGACGGCAUCUCUGGAAAUACGUUUAUUACCCAGGCAGAGAUGGAGACCACUCAGAACUUUUUAGUCAGUACAUUAACCAGGGUAUAUUUUACUAGUGAACCCCCGGAUGUGUCACAUAGAGCUGAAGUAAGGAUGUUUUAGUAGUAGGGGUCAGUGACAAAUCCAGGGCCUAGAGGGUAGAGAGAAGUGAAAGAAUACAAAAGCUAGAGAAAAUCAGUGAAUAAACAGACUUGCUCAAGGUCACACAACUAGUUGGUACCAGAGUGGGGACUUGAACUCUGGCAUUGAGAUUUCUCUGGAAGCUCCACACAGUGCUACUCUCGCAAUAGACCAGAAGCCACUGUGCCUAGUUUGAGGUGUUACAGAGGAGUAAAGGAUGGCGCACAAGCCUAAAGGACAGGGACAAAAGAGGAUGCAUAUCAUCAAUAGAAAUGUCUAUGGAGAACCCACUUAUUGUGAGUUAGACACUUGUUAUAAACCGAAUUGCAUUUGUCCCCCUCAAACAUUCAUAUUGAAACGCUAACCCCCAGUGUGACUGUGUUUGGAGACAGGGCCUUGAGGAGACAAUUAAGAUUAAAUGGGGUCACAAGUAUGGGGCCCUAAUCCAAUAGGGCUGGUGUCCUUAUAAGAAGAAGAUGCAACAGGAGCAUGUGUGAAAAGAGGAAAACCAUAGGAGGACACAACAAGAAGGUGGCCAUCUGCAGGCCAAAGAGAGACCUCAGGAGAAACCAAACCUGUUCACACAUUGAUCUUGAACUUCAAACUUCCAGGACUGUGAGAAAAUAAAUUUCUGUUAUUUAAGCCACCCAGUCUGUGGCGUUUUGUUAUGGCAGCUUGACCUAAUACAAGAAAGAUGGCCAAAGUGAAGGGGCUGCUGAAGACUACCUCAGUUUUAUUCUGUUCCAAGCUUACCCAGGCCCAGGGAGAAGAUGGGGAACUGAUGCACAACUGAAACUUAACCAGGUAUUUUCAAGUUAACCAGGUCCAUGUUAAAACAAAAAGCAAAAAGACAUAAAUAGCGGUUAAAGUUGUAGACAGCCAUGAACAAUUUCUCUUUUUUUCCUGUGACUUAUCUGUCUGUACAUCCUUUAAUUGCCUUGUUUCGUUGGUA